rnacentral:rRNA from 1 species
AUUGAACGCUAGCGGGAUGCCUUACACAUGCAAGUCGAACGAGUGGCGGACGGGUGAGUAAUGUAUCGGAACGUGCCCGGUGGAGGGGGAUAACUACUGGAAACGGUAGCUAAUACCGCAUACCAUCGGAGCGGCCCAGAUGGGAUUAGCUGGUUGGUGGGGUAACGGCUCACCAAGGCAACGAUCCGUAGCUGGUCUGAGAGGAUGACCAGCCACACUGGAACUGAGACACGGCCCAGACUCCUACGGGAGGCAGCAGUGGGGAAUUUUGGACAAUGGGGGAAAGCCUGAUCCAGCCAUCCCGCGUGUAUGAAGAAGGCCUUCGGGUUGUAAAGUACUUUCAGCAGGGAGGCGUUAUCCGCAGAAGAAGCACCGGCUAACUACGUGCCAGCAGCCGCGGUAAUUC